AAAACACCACCAAUUCUUCAGGAGUGACACAAGUUCUAGGACAUUUGGGUGUGCUAAAUGCUAGAUCCUUUCACAAGUUUUAUUAAUUUCUCUUGAAUACUGUACAGCUAGAAAUUUAGAAAUGUGUAAAGCAUACAAUACCUAGAUACAGGGUAAAGUAUUACCUAUGCUCACUGAUCUUCUGUGAACAGAUUAUUAUUUGGCAAAGCUGUCAAUGAAGACACAACACUAGGAAGAAACAUUGGGAUGCACACUGGAAUCCAAGCAAGCAGAAUCUGAUUUGCUGGUGCUGUUUAUUUAUGGCUCUGCACUUUUUAAUGAAGCAGACAUUUGGACUGAAUGAAAUCAAAAUGACUUCAUGGACAAAAUACCAAGUGGAAUCACAGUGAAGGUGAAAAUGGCCUGUGCCUCCACCAGGUUUCAUGUAUUACUUUUAUGGCCCUAAUAUGUAGUUAUAUCUUGUGUGCUUUUAAACUCAUAUAAUCUGAAACCUGUUGUGCAGUUUGUUGCAGCCCAUGUGCCUCCACGCUGUGGAAAGCAGCACAAAGGCACAUAGGAGUGUUUGGAGGACACAAAAGCCAGCUGCAGCAGAAGUGGAGGACUAUGGAAAAUGGAGAGGGCCCUUCCUGAUGUCUUUUCACUGACACUGCCAAGGCCUGUGCCCAAGCCUCAUCCAGGCAGCUCCAGUGAGCAUAGCCUAAAAACCCAUGGGCUCAAAUAGGGUCCAAGACCACCCACGCAGAGUCUGCACUCUUUCCCUUGUCCUGUUUUGUUUACAUGCACAGACACAGUCUAAGAGAAUGACUUUUUAAUUUUUUAAGGUACCGUCAUAUUUCAUUUGUAGUCAUGAUGACCAUUUAUAUUUCUGUGCUAAAUUGACAAUGAAAUUACCCUCUAGAGAUUUCUUUCAGACAAAUAAAAAUGUGUAAAUGUGUCAAGGUCCAUUUUGCCCAUGAUGCUACCUAUCUUCAAAAGGACUUGUUGAAUAGUCUUUAAGAUACCUACAUUUAACCACGCAGGGUGGAAUCCCAGUCUUUCUCCCUCUUGCCUAAAGACUUUCAAAGAAGUUCAGCAUUUUCCGAGUUAGAUACUCCAUGGCCUUCAGGGUUGUGUAUGGAUUAGCAGUGUAGCUUUGCAGUAGGUCUGCAGAACAAAACAGCUGAUGUAGAAGGCCUCACAUCCACACUGCAAAUAUUUCAAUGAGAAGUUAAUUUAGACCAGUCCUUGUGUAGCUCAAGGAUUCAGCACGUGUCUGUAGUAAUUGUACUUUCAGUCUGAUUUUAGAGAACAUAAUCCAGUUUAGUUCCAUCCUAAAGGAGCCCAGUUUAUAUUUUCCAAAAUGAUUACGGGAUGUCAAUAAUCCUUUUUUUUAAACCCAUUAAAAAAUCACACUUCAGGGUACAGAUGAACAAUUUCAAUGAAAUUAUUUCAUUUUGCAGGGGAGUAAAACUAGCAAAAAAUGCCAGCAGACUGAUUUUUUUUAUGGGUUAAGUUUUCUUUUUUUUUUAGGAACUUCAUUACUUUGCUAACAGUUAAUUUUAAUUUAGAUCUCUGUGAUGGAAUUGAAUAGAAAAAGGUAGGUAGGUCUUACUACUGAUUGACAAACAAGGUAGUACUUUCCCCCAUGCAACACUUAAUCUCUUCUCUGUACAUCACCUUUGCUCAGUAAAAGGAUGUCACUCAUGCUGUCUGGAGCCAAAUUUCCAUAUCCAAAAUAAAACAACAGACUGUAACCGUUCUGCCUGUAAAGUAACUCCAGUCUGAGAAGCAGCCCAGUGGAAAGGAGGUCCAACAACUCGAAUAUCUUCAGGGGUCCAAGACCUUCCAGAUGUACCAUCUGAUUGCUUUAAUGGCAAAGUAAUUUAGUUAAUUUUAAAAAUGCAGAAAUGCAAGCAAAAUUCACCUUUACUUGCAAGUUCAAACCUCAUUUAAACACAAGCUUGGGACUUCUUUCAACUUUUGAAAGGUACUUUUCUUUUGUAAAUGAGCAUCUGAGCUGUUUUCAAAUAACCUAAAUAACACAGCUCCUAGGCUUUGUAUAAAAAUACAAACAAAUAAGAAAUAACUACCCUGAAAAUUGUACUCUCACUCAGUGAUAACUUUCUACCCACAUGCUCUUGUCUCUCACACUCUGGAACAGCACCUUACACUAUUAAACAUUUUCUGCAAUCUCCACUGCUGGGAAAUAGUUGGAUGCUUCAGUUCUCUCAGCUCUUCAGUUGCUUUUAUUCUUUCAGCUACACGCUAUUAUAAUGAAUUAUCUGAUUUGAAAGACCAGAAAAUGUCUCCUUUUGUAAUAAAGCUGUUCAAGCUAUUUAAAAUGUGUUUUCCAGAUUAUCAAGCAUUUUGUCACAUUAGAAUCUCACUUUAACACAGAUAAGCCAUGGCUUCAUCAAGUUUUAUCUUGCCCAAACUGAGCCAAGGGCAGGCUGACUCACCGGCUGGUAAUAGCAAGCAUAGCUUUCCAUCUCAAUGUCACCAGCUGGAAUUCAGCAAAGGUCAUCACUGAUAACCAACUGAGCUUUUGAUGGCCCUAUGAAAUUAGCUGAUGAUCUAGGUAUAGUGACUAGAGGACAGGUGUUCUUAUUAUAAAAACCAUUUACCAGUUGAUAACCUCUCUUACUAGACUCAACUGAGAAAUGAUGAGCUAAAUGAGGCACAGGUGCUCAACCACUUCACAUAAACAACUGGCAUCUGAAAAAGAAGUUUAAGGACAUAUUGUCAGGGGUUAAGUGUGUCCCACCUACUGUGAAACUGAAAUACUAUUUCCCUGGGGCUUACAGAACUUGUGCAUUUAGUGGAGACUUUAAGUUCAUUCAUCAAACACAUGAUAUAAACCAUUCUGUUAUGCACCUUCAAAUCAAAAGAUGAAAAAGAAAGAAGAAAGAAAGGUGCUCACAAAGGAAAUGUUCAGAGAGGUAAACUUCAGGUGCUGUUGGGGUUGUAUUGUGCAGUCUCUGUAAUCACUCUUCACACAUCUAAAAAGCAGGAGAGGUACAACUUACUGCAGGGAAUUACUGAUCUGCUGGAAGAAACUGCAGCUUCAGGUACCCUCAAUUAAUGGCCAAAAGAAACUCAUUUUGUGUGUGACAACACAAAUUGGGCACUUCCUUACUCACUCAUCUACACCACUGCCAAGACUAAAUAAUCUUGAAAUUGAGUCAGGGCUAAAGUGGAAAAGGCAUUUGGGCUCCUAAAAAUGAGAAACGGGCAUUCAAGGAUGAAUAAGAGCUUUCGUCAGAGGAAGAGCGUGGAGCGCAGAGCAGCUUCGAUUGGCCAUGCAUUCUUCAGGGAGUCAUGGAAAAGAGCAGCUGGCUCAGAAGAUUUCCCUGGUGAAUGGCAAGCUCUACCCAUAGGUCCAGAGGGAGGAAUUGAAAGAUUGAAGAAUUGAGCCUGGGGUAAGCCUGCACAUAUGCAAAGGCUGAGUGGCUUCUUUUUAAAUGAUUAUAAGUGUAGCAAAUGUGUAAGAGCUGCUCAAUCCCAUUAUUUAAUAUCCAGUGUAUCAGUUCUGUAGGCUGUGUGGGGAGCUCAUGAUGCUCCUCUUACUCACUUUGACUUUGACUGAUGAGACUGUUUCACCUCAGGUUUUGUACAGAAGAAAAGUUGCCUGUAUCCAAGUUUAAUUCUCAGAAUUUUGUGUGUUCAAGUCCCAUAAAACCAGAUUAUUCUGAGGAGACAUGACAGUAGCCUGGUACAAUUUUAAGAAAUUUCCAAGACACCGUCUGUGUUUAUCUUUGUUUAGCUGUAGAGCCAGAUGAAAGGAACAGAUACCUUGUAUUUUAGAAGACUGAAGUGAAUUAAUAGACUGCUGUAUCUCACAAAAAAGGAAGGAAGGAGAAAAUGAAUGAAUGGACUUUGACUUUUCUUAAGUAUACAGGGCAGCUGAGCUCUGACUGAUGUUUACAAAAGUAGAUGUGUUUGAAGCAGCACGACAUGGGGAACCAUGAACAGUUUAAGGGUUAAGCAGGAAGAGCCUUCAGGUCCUACAAAAUUGGGGAAAAUAUAAUCUAUAAAAUGCAUUUAUCAUAUUUUUCUGAAAAGAAAUUCUCAUAAGCUAAACAAGAGAUAACUUCUGUACAACGUGCAUAAGAAAAUUAAGAAUUAAAUCAUAAGAAAUAUGAAAAGAAGUAGCAGUUUUGAUGCACGACAGUGAACAGUUUCACUGCAUUCAAACAUUAAUUAUAGUAAACUAUUUGGUAAUGAGAGGAACUUUUGUUGUUCUCAUGCUGUUCUUGCUUACAGAUGAAGGAGCAGGUUUCAGGUCACUAGAAUUCCUGCAGUGCUAGCCCUUGUUUCUGAGUUGAAACAAUGAAAUCCUUAAGCAGAUGCCUGACUUCAGAAUCCUGAGUACUGCUGUUAAACACUGAAGCAGUAUCCUCAAUGUGUAUUAAUAAAUCCAUGAAUGAAAGAAUUGUUUACAAGCACUUUUCAAUCAAAAUAAAUCAAGUUUCCAACUGACAGAAAUUUGUUGAAAAAUAAGGACUUUUCACUUCUUCCUUCUUCUAAUAUAAUGUGCUCUAUAAGAUGAAUAACAUAAAAAAGGGGGAAAAUACCAUUCCUUUUCUUCAGGUGGUGCACUGUGAUACCCUUUCGCAGUUCUUUGCUGUAUGCACUUUGAAAAGUUAAAAAUACCUUCAAUGUACACAAAGAGUAGCCAAAGAAGAUGCUAUUAUUUGCAGAACAGCAGCACCAACAUACUACAUUUUCAGCUAAUUAUAAUAAUGUGCAUAUCUUCUGUGAGAAAUAGGAAGGGAUAUCACAGUUUAAAUUAUUCUGUGUUGGCUUUCAGAGGACAAACACUUGUUGUUGACAACUAUUUGAUCUGUCUCAUAAUACUGUUAUGAUGACAAAAUAAAACUAUACUUUUUUCUCAAUUUCUGUGAUCUUUCACCUAGAUAAGAACCAACACCUGGCAUCUUUUCAAAUUUUCUUUUUUUCUUUACAUCAGUAGCAAAAGUUAAAAAGGUAACAUGAAAAGAAAGAUGAAAAAGGAAUGCUGUUCAAAUUGAAGGACUGCAGUUUCAAGUUUCAAUCCUGUAUCAAAACAUCUCCGCCUCAUCUUCUUUCUCAGUCAUCACAAAUGAAAUAGUACAAAGAAGUACACAAACAUCAGUACAAUGCUGUGUGUGUACUGCUAUCCAAAAAUCACAGUUACAAAAUUAUACCUGACAUAUCAAAAACUGACAGUCACAUCCUCAAGAUUUUCUUCUGUUCAUUCCCAUGGACCUUCUUUAUUAAUAAAUCUGACACAUAAAAAGCAUCUGUAUGACUAAAGUGUCAGUUACUGGAAAGACCGUUUUGAUCUACUUCUUAACUUUUAGAAGAAAUAUUCUCUUUUUUAUGAAGACAGAAUCUGUUCACUGACUGCCAGCUUUCAAAUGACCACCUCUUGAAGUUUAAUUUUAAGUUUUAAAUAAAUAUUGUAUGCAUGCAGAAUAAUUAUGAUGCUCUAGAGAGACUGUGUAUAAUGACAUUGAUUCUUUUUUAUCUAAAAAUGCCAAACCCUUGAGGCGGAAAAGUCUGUAUUUGCCACAGAUAUAUAGAGGUUCAUUCUACAUGUUAAAUUAUAAUAGCUUCUUCAUGUUUCUGUCACUAAGUCAGUAGUGAAACUUCCAUUGUAAACUUCAAUUUCCAAUUGCUUAAAAUGUACUGGUAAAAAUUGUCUUUGGCCAAACAUUUGAUAUAGAGAAUUUUAGCAGUGGAAUAACUUCUACUACAUUAAAAGAAAAUUUUAAAAUUCUGAUACAAUGCUGUGUAACUACUGGAAAGAAAUCACAUUGAGUUUAGAUGAAUGUUAACAGUCAUUACUGAA